rnacentral:lncRNA from 1 species
CGUGGUGGUGCACGACGGCCGGAGGCGGGAAAAGAUCUUCGACUCCAGAGGGGGCGGAUGCGCGCACCAGUUCGGAGAGAAGGGGGACGCCGCGCAGGACGUUCGGUACGCGCUGGACGUCGCCGUCACCUUCGACUGCCACGUGGUUGUCACCGACGCGGGCGACCGCUCCGUCAAAGUGUUUGACUUUUUGGGCCAGGUCAGGCUUGUCAUUGGAGGCCAGUUCACCUUAAGAUCUUCGACUCCAGAGGGGGCGGAUGCGCGCACCAGUUCGGAGAGAAGGGGGACGCCGCGCAGGACGUUCGGUACGCGCUGGACGUCGCCGUCACCUUCGACUGCCACGUGGUUGUCACCGACGCGGGCGACCGCUCCGUCAAAGUGUUUGACUUUUUGGGCCAGGUCAGGCUUGUCAUUGGAGGCCAGUUCACCUUACCGUGGGGCGUGGAGGCCACGCCUCAGAACGGGGUCCUGGUCACUGAUGCUGAGGCCGGGUCCCUACACCUUGUGGAAGCGGACUUCCCCGAAGGGGUCCUGCGGAGAAACGAAAGGCUGUACACUCACCUGUGCGGCCCCCGAAGCGUGGCCGUGUCCUGGCUCAGCGGGGCCAUCGCCGUCCUGGAGCACCCCAUGUCCGCGGGGACCCAGCCCUGCAGCACCAGGGUGAAGGUGUUCAGCGCGAGCAUGCAGCUCCUCAGCCAGGUGGACACCUUCGGGCUGAGCCUCUUCUUUCCCUCCCAGAUAACUGCUUCCGCUGUGGCCUUUGAUCAGCAGGGGAAUGUGAUCGUGGCCGAUACCUCGGGACCAGCCAUCCUAUGCCUAGGAAAACCCGAGGAGUUCCCAGUGCUGAAGCCCAUGGUCACCCAAGGGCUUGCCCACCCCGUGGCACUGGCCUUCACCAAGAAUUCAUUGCUCGUGCUGGAUGCUGCGUCCCAUUCUGUAAAAGUCUACAAGGUUGACCGGGGGUGA